rnacentral:rRNA from 1 species
UACGGAGGGGGCUAGCGUUGUUCGGAAUUACUGGGCGUAAAGCGCACGUAGGCGGCUUUGUAAGUUAGAGGUGAAAGCCCGGGGCUCAACUCCGGAAUUGCCUUUAAGACUGCAUCGCUAGAAUUGUGGAGAGGUAAGUGGAAUUCCGAGUGUAGAGGUGAAAUUCGUAGAUAUUCGGAAGAACACCGGUGGCGAAGGCGGUCUGCUGGGCCAAGACUGACGCUGAGGCGCGACAGCGUGGGGAGCAAACAGG